rnacentral:SRP_RNA from 1 species
CGUCGGCGUUCUCGCGACGGUUAAUUGUGAAUUCCGCCAGGUCCGGAAGGAAGCAACGGUAGCAAUGAGACUGGGUGCCGAGAAGGUGCUGGCGCGG